rnacentral:rRNA from 1 species
UACGGAGGGUCCAAGCGUUAUCCGGAUUUACUGGGUUUAAAGGGUGCGCAGGCGGAACUUUAAGUCAGUGGUGAAAUCUCACAGCUCAACUGUGAAACUGCCAUUGAAACUGAAGUUCUUGAAUAUAGUUGAGGUAGGCGGAAUUUGACAUGUAGCGGUGAAAUGCAUAGAUAUGUCAAGGAACACCAAUUGCGUAGGCAGCUUACUAAACUAUUAUUGACGCUCAGGCACGAAAGCGUGGGUAGCGAACAGG